AGAUUGAACGCUGGCGGCAUGCUUUACACAUGCAAGUCGAACGGCAGCACGGGGGCGAACCCUCGGUGGCGAGUGGCGAACGGGUGGAGUAAUGCAUCGGAACGUAUCCUUGAGUGGGGGAGUAACGCAGCGAAAGUUAGUGCUAAUACCGCAUAAGCUCUGAGGAGGAAAGACGGGGGACCGGAAAGGCCUCGCGCUGAAGGAGCGGCCGAUGUCCGAUUAGCUAGUUGGUGAGGUAAAGGACUUACCAAGGCGACGAUCGGUAGGCUGGUCUGAGAGGAUGAUCAGCCACACUGGGACUGAGACACGGCCCACGACUCCUACGGGAGGCAGC
rnacentral:rRNA from 1 species